GUCGGUCCACGACCCGUUCGGUCCGACCGCGACCACGAGGCCGUCAUCGUUGACAUCGAACUGGUCGAGGGUGUUGUUGGUGACGUGACGUGGGGAAAGCUGCCGUGGAUCACGGACGAACCCCGCGCCGAUCAGCUCGCCGAAUACAUACCCUUCGCACUCCUGCUGAAGCGUCGUCGCGUUGGGAGGAUUGCACUGUCCGGGAUAGUUGCGAAUCUUCAUGCGUGAGCGGUCGGCGACGAGCGUCGAGGACCAGCGCAGGUUGGGUCGGGAGAUCCACUGCGCUUCGAGCGUGGCUUCAACGGUGUUGCCCACCAGGUCGCCGAGAUUCUUCAC
rnacentral:misc_RNA from 1 species